rnacentral:piRNA from 1 species
CCACGAGUGUCUUCUCGUUCCCACGCGAGU